GAGCAGACCUGGUGAUGAUUACGUCCACGAGGAACAGGAGUUCGUCAGCUGGCUGAGUGAACAGGAGACCUUCUGGAUCGGCCUGCAUGCACGGGAACGGAGCGUGCCGGGGGAGUUGGAGUGGGAGUGGGUGGACAACAGUCGCUUUUCGUACAGGGCCUGGGGGGUCAACGUGGCCGUGACCCGGCCCUCUGAGGGGUCCAGAGGCUACAUCGGCCCGCAAGGAACAUGGAAUCAAACCGACGGCGGAUCCAUCCAGCGAUUCAUCUGUGAGAAGAAAGUGAUGGAACACAAAACGGAGACGUGACGAGAGAACCGAUUUCCAUCCAAAGGCUCCUGGGGGGCCGCUUCUUCCUCUUCUUCCUCUUCUUCCUCUGGCUCCUCUUCUUCCUCUGGCUCAUCUUCCUCC